rnacentral:misc_RNA from 1 species
GAACGCACAUUGCGCCCCUUGGUAUUCCAUGGGGCAUGCCUGUUCGAGCGUCAUUUGUACCCUCAAGCUUUGCUUGGUGUUGGGCGUCUUGUCUUUUAUUAGACUCGCCUUAAAGUCAUUGGCAGCCAGUGUUUUUGGUAGUAAGCGCAGCACAUUUUGCGUCUUAGUCCUUGAAUCGUGGCAUCCAUGAAGCCUCUUUUUCACUUUUGACCUCGGAUCAGGUAGGGAUACCCGCUGAACUUAAG